GAUGAACGCUAGCGAUAGGCUUAACACAUGCAAGUCGAGGGGCAGCAUGGUCUUAGCUUGCUAAGACUGAUGGCGACCGGCGCACGGGUGCGUAACGCGUAUGCAACUUGCCUCACAGAGGGGGAUAACCCGUCGAAAGACGGACUAAUACCGCGUACACUUGGGAUAGGGCAUCCUGACCCAAGGAAAUGAAAUUCGCUGUGAGAUAGGCAUGCGUCCCAUUAGCUAGUUGGUGAGGUAACGGCUCACCAAGGCGACGAUGGGUAGGGGAACUGAGAGGUUGACCCCCCACACUGGUACUGAGACACGGACCAGACUCCUACGGGAGGCAGCAGUGAGGAAUAUUGGUCAAUGGGCGAGAGCCUGAACCAGCCAAGUCGCGUGAAGGAUGACUGUCUUAUGGAUUGUAAACUUCUUUUAUACGGGAAUAACAAGAGUCACGUGUGGCUCCCUGCAUGUACCGUAUGAAUAAGCAUCGGCUAACUCCGUG
rnacentral:rRNA from 1 species